CAUUAAUACAUUAUUAUUCACCUUCCUCUAUUAUGCAACAAAUAAAUCCAGAAACAACAUUUGGAUUAAUAUACUGUCCUGUGUUAGCGAAAUUGCAUCAUAGUUGUGUACCCACGUGUAGUUUUUUUUAUGAUGAAAAUGGUUUCCUAACUGUUAGAGCAUUAUGUCAAAUACCAGAAGGUGGUAAAUUAUGUAUUAGUCUUUUAUCUGAUCCGUAUGUACCUUUAAAAAUAAGAAAACAUUUUAAAAAUAACCCUAGGAUUAUUACAUGUGGUUGUAUCAGAUGCUCUGACCCAACAGAAAACAAUUUACAUUUAAGGAGUGUAAAAUGUCCAAACUGUGUUAUUGGUUAUAUAUAUCCUAUAAAAACAGGCGCGUUGGUUGAGGCUUUGUUUUCGCACUGGAACAAGCAGAGUGAUACUUGUUUUUCAAGUGAUGUAAACACUACAGAAAAAAUAACAAAUGCGGCCAGCUCAAACAACAUUACUAACAACAACACUCACAAUAGCACCCGCAACACUCAAAAUAGCACCCGCAACACUCACAAUAGCACCCGCAACACUCACAAUAGCACCCGCAACACUCACAAUAGCACUCACAACACUCACAAUAGUAACACCCAUCGACCUGUAUACGAUGAGAAAAAAAAAAAAAAAUUGUUAAAAAUAAUAAAAAAAAAAAAGGAACGGUGGCUAUGUUCCAACUGUGAUAAAUUGUCCAUACAAGGAAAUAAAAAAUGCUUAAAAAUUGAAAACUUAGUAUAUAUUUUAUAUAACGAAGCUGAAAAUGAUUAUAUUCAGGGAAAUAUAGUAAUUGCAAGAAAUAAACUAAUUAAAUUAUAUGAGGAGUACUAUCAUAUAUUACAUCCAAAUCAUUAUAUAAUGUUUAAUGUUUGUGUUUUAUUAGCUGGGCUGUUACGACACGAUCCAAAUAAACAAGUGUUUGAGUCUUUACGAUUCUUAAGAAAAGCUGUUAUAUCAGCAGAAAAUGUAUUACCUGUAUGCUGUUUAGAAAAAAUACAUUUGUACGCACAUUUAGCCC
rnacentral:lncRNA from 1 species